GACACAGCGCUCCUCCCCCGAACGAGGUCCCGAUCCGUUCCUCCCCCUCUCCCGUGGAUACGCCGCCGCCGCCGAUCUGCCAAUCCGGGCAGCGCAGCCACUGCAGCCGAUCUGCCGAUCCGGGCAGCGCAGCCGCCGCCGCUGAUCUGCCUAUCCGGGCAGAUGCGGCCGUCGUGGAUCACGAGAACGCCGGCGCUGCCGGCGCCUCGAAUACGUCGCCCGUCACCACCACGAUGGCACCUCGCCGCCGCCGCUCGGCAUGGAUGGCCGUCCCAAGACAUGGAUAAGCUCUCAUGAUCCCCACCCCAUCCCUCUCAUCCCCUGAAUCUGUAUCCUCCUUCAUCCCACCCACGAUCUGAUCCGGAAGAUGCCCACGAUCCGAUCCCCUGGUUUCUUAUCCGGUUAUCCCCCUCUCGUCUCCCGUCUAGCAACCCCCAUCUUCGGUGUGGCGACAUUGCUGACGUAGUCGCGACCCCCCACAAUUCUAGGCUCGGCCUUCCUCGACUCCAUGCGUGGCUAACAAGGUGGUCUUCGUCCCGAGGUGGUCUGCUCGUGCUCUCCUGUUCCUCCUGAAACGGCGAGGGGUAGUGCCGGUCGUGGCUCAGCAGGAUAGCAUAAGCUUGCCCUUGUUCUUUUGUGUUUGAAUCAGACUUGCUGGUUCUCCGUUUUACAUGCACAUAUCAAUCUUUCUUCUGUAUGCAGGUUACACACCUGAUGAUGUUUACAGCGAGGCGCAGGAACAAGCAGAGGCCGAGGAAGUGCAGGCACGCGUUGCUGACCUUGGCAGGUGUAGGAACCGCGCGAGGAAGGUUCAGCGCGCUGCACCAGUCAGGCCACGCCCGGGGCGCCGCGCCAACACAUGUGCGCGUGGUCGGUGGGUUGGCCAAUAUCUGCAUUCUGCGACUUCAUCUUCACCAUGGACACAAGCAAGGACUGAUUGGUGGGUCUUGGUAGCGAUGCCGGGCAUCGGCGGAUCGAAGUGGUCGAGGUCGCGGUUAAUCGACCAGGACGAGACAUGCAUCUUGGAGCUAGCGCAGAGGGGGAAAGAAGCAGGUUGGUCUGGCCUGGCCUCGCAAAUGAAUUGGAACUUUCGCGCAAAGAAAACACACACAGGGCAGGAACAUGGCUACUCUCGCCCUUCCAAGUUUCUGAUCGAUCGAACUCUUCGGGGACAAGAAAAUGAGAAAAGGGCAGGCCGUCGAUGUACAGACCACAGGUGCUCGGAGGGACGGCCGGAAUCAUGGUCGUCAUAACUCAUAACCCAUGAGGGGGUGACGAAGCAAGAAAGGAAGGUCGCCGAUAAUGGUGCUAAUAUCUCCGUUUUGGUGAUAUAAGGGAUUUAGAGCAUCCACAUGACCAUGGUCGACAAUGGCCUGAAGCCAAAUUUUGUUUUUGUUCAGACAAAUGGCCGUGCGCUGAACUGAUGAACUGCACAACUGAAUGCAGCACUCAUGCAAAGAUGUGACAUCUUGGUUGGCUGCUCGCGGCGGAGCAUGUGGCUGGUGCUUGCGGCAGUGGUAGAGCAACGUCGGCGAGCGUGGCGCAAGCAGUGGCCAGAGCUGCAUGGAUAGCUGCAAGCAUGCCAUCCAACGCAACACUUCAAGUAUGACAAUGUCCACUCUACACCAAGAUAUUAGUCAGUUGGGAGAUGAGGUGGUUUGCCAGAUAAGAAACAGAAUAAUGACAAUAAGGAGCGUUAAUUGGACCAUGUCAUGGUAAGACAAGAGCUCCGCCUGCUGCUACUACGAUCGGCCGCUGCCCUACGCUGGCCGAGGCUGCACAUCAUCGCCUACUCCACCAUGCUACACCUUGGGAUUGCUGGCUGCCGAAGUCGACGCCAUCUGUCGCCCCUCAACACUUUUUUAGAAUCAUGGAAAAUCUCUUGGUCUCUUCACUGUGUUGUAAUUUGUUUCUAUGCUUUACGUUUUCUUGUGUCAUGCCUCCAGGACUUUGUUUUCUUACUAUAGUUGCAUUAGCAUGAGGCUCUUCUGUAAUAUGCAGGACUACUUCCAAACAACAUACAAAUUGUUCUAGAUGUCCCCACACAUUCUAUUUCCAAUGCAUAGAACCCAAACAUAUGCUUUUCGGAUGU